rnacentral:rRNA from 1 species
AGUGAACGCUGGCGGUAGGCCUAACACAUGCAAGUCGAACGGCAGCACAGUAAGAGCUUGCUCUUACGGGUGGCGAGUGGCGGACGGGUGAGGAAUACAUCGGAAUCUACUUUUUCGUGGGGGAUAACGUAGGGAAACUUACGCUAAUACCGCAUACGACCUACGGUGAAAGCAGGGGAUCUUCGGACCUUGCGCGAUUGAAUGAGCCGAUGUCGGAUUAGCUAGUUGGCGGGGUAAAGGCCCACCAAGGCGACGAUCCGUAGCUGGCCUGAGAGGAUGAUCAGCCACACUGGAACUGAGACACGGUCCAGACUCCUACGGGAGGCAGCAGUGGGGAAUAUUGGACAAUGGGCGCAAGCCUGAUCCAGCCAUACCGCGUGGGUGAAGAAGGCCUUCGGGUUGUAAAGCCCUUUUGUUGGGAAAGAAAAGCAGCAGGUUAAUACCCCGCUGUUCUGACGGUACCCAAAGAAUAAGCACCGGCUAACUUCGUG